GAUGAACGCUAGCGGCAGGCCUAAUACAUGCAAGUCGAACGGGAUUAAGAGGCUUGCUUCUUAUGAGAGUGGCGCACGGGUGCGUAACACGUAUGCAACCUACCUUUAACUGGGGGAUAGCCUUCCGAAAGGGAGAUUAAUACCGCAUAACAUAAUUGAACGGCAUCGUUUGAUUAUCAAACUUCCAAGGGUUAAAGAUGGGCAUGCGUCCGAUUAGUUAGUUGGUGAGGUAACGGCUCACCAAGGCAUCGAUCAGUAGGGGAUCUGAGAGGAUGACCCCCCACACUGGUACUGAGACACGGACCAGACUCCUACGGGAGGCAGCAGUAAGGAAUAUUGGUCAAUGGACGCAAGUCUGAACCAGCCAUGCCGCGUGCAGGAAGACGGUCCUCUGGAUUGUAAACUGCUUUUGUUAGGGAAGAAACCCUCUGAUGCGUCAGAGGCUGACGGUACCUAAAGAAUAAGGAUCGGCUAACUCCGUGCCAGCCGCCGCAGUAACAC
rnacentral:rRNA from 1 species